UCCACACCAUAAUUCAUCAACAUAGGCCAUUGGCCGGUUCAUAUUAUAGAAGGUUGUUCAAAAGCUACUCAGGGCAUUGUCCUGUUCAAAACGACAUAUCACAUAAUCUAAAAGACUAAACAAUUCAUUGAUAACUUAAAACAAUCUUCUGUUAGUACGACAACAUUCAAAUGGAGCGAUCUAGGAUCUCCUCUAGGUUGAGGCCCCACUCCUCACAGUGAUCAGCGAGAGUUGGAGGGAGUGGUUGAUUCCAAAUGGCCUCCUCCUCAUAAUCAUCACAGUAUCACACUCGCUAAAAGUAUCCACGUCCUCUUCAUCACAGGUUUCGUUGAGUAGAUGCUGGCAUUCAAAGGAACACAGUUCAAGCAUCUCUGCAAUUUCGUCAACACACAUUCAAGUAUUCAACAAAGUAAUUUUGUAAACGAACAAAAAUCCAUAUCUUACAUCGCUACGCAGCGUAACAGCGGCUCUCUUCGCAGCCUCUGCGGUCGCCUUCUCAGCUUCAGCCAUGUCAGCAUACCAGAGGGGCUACAGGGGAACUCUGAUGAAAGCGUGCUACAGGAUGAGCAAAUCAAGGUGUCGGGCCGCCGUGUCCGUAGGCCCAAUUCUCUUUUUCCAUUGGACAAGUGGUUCAUGUAAGCCCAUGUGGCAGUACCAGUAGAUAAG
rnacentral:lncRNA from 1 species